GACGAACGCUGGCGGCGUGCUUAACACAUGCAAGUCGAACGGAAAGGCCUGCUUUCCCUUGUGGAUUGCGGGUACUCGAGUGGCGAACGGGUGAGUAACACGUGAGUGAUCUGCCCCCAACUUGGGUAUAAGCCUGGGAAACUGGGUCUAAUUCCCGAUAGGACUGCAGGGUGGUGCCUGUGGUGGAAAACGAUUUUCUAGUGGUUGGGGAUGAGCUCGCGGCCUAUCAGCUUGUUGGUGGGGUAAUGGCCUACCAAGGCGGCGACGGGUAGCCGGCCUGAGAGGGGGGACGGCCACAUUGGGACUGAGAUACGGCCCAGACUCCUACGGGAGGCAGCAGUGGGGAAUAUUGCACAAUGGGCGGAAGCCUGAUGCAGCGACGCCGCGUGGGGGAUGACGGCCUUCGGGUUGUAAACUCCUUUCGACCGCGAGGAAGCCACCUGGUUGGAAGGGUGGUGACGGUAGUGGUAGAAGAAGCACCGGCUAACUACGUG
rnacentral:rRNA from 1 species